rnacentral:rRNA from 1 species
GGGGAAUCUUAGACAAUGGGGGCAACCCUGAUCUAGCCAUGCCGCGUGAGUGAUGAAGGCCUUAGGGUUGUAAAGCUCUUUCAGCUGGGAAGAUAAUGACGGUACCAGCAGAAGAAGCCCCGGCUAACUCCGUGCCAGCAGCCGCGGUAAUACGGAGGGGGCUAGCGUUGUUCGGAAUUACUGGGCGUAAAGCGCACGUAGGCGGACUGGAAAGUUGGAGGUGAAAUCCCAGGGCUCAACCUUGGAACUGCCUUCAAAACUAUCAGUCUGGAGUUCGAGAGAGGUGAGUGGAAUUCCGAGUGUAGAGGUGAAAUUCGUAGAUAUUCGGAGGAACACCAGUGGCGAAGGCGGCUCACUGGCUCGAUACUGACGCUGAGGUGCGAAAGCGUGGGGAGCAAAC